AAUAUCUUUAUGUCUUGUUUUCUGGAUGAUUUGUCAAUGUCAUUUUUAAAAAAUAGCAAUAAGAAAAUGUCAUGCCAUGUUUCAGUACCAGUCUCAACUGACUAUGCGGUCUUAUAAAUAUGCCUUUUUUUGCCAUCGCAGAAGAAUGUUACGCAAACCACGGAGAAUGCAUGUCAAAUUGCUCAUCCAGCACUACCCAGCUGAAUCUCAGCUUUCCAGGAUAUAGUCCUUCAUUCUGGAUUCCAUUGUCUUGAUUGUGUAACUCAGCGCAGAUUGAGUUUCUAUUUUCCCAGAAUCAUAUGUCAGUCUUGUGGAAGCACUUCACACACUGAAAAAAAAAGAGUUAGAAAUCUUUAAAAGAUGACAACAUAGUGAAGGGAUUCUCUGGCAGUACCACUGUGAGUAUUACAGAGAAAGCUGUCCACAGAAGUCUGUGAAGUGAUUCAAGUUUGAGAUCUGAAAUGUUUGGACCACAGAGUGAAGAAGAGCAUAUGGAUGAUAAAGAUCAGAGGGGUCUCACUAUGAAUGAAGGGAGAUGACACUCACUUCAUGCACAGAAAACCAUCCAUACUGUCUUCAGUUCUCAUCUAGGAUGUGGUGGAUGGGUGCUAGCAUAUUUUCCUGGGUUUUUAUUUUAUAGAGUGGUGAUUAGACUGAUGGACAAAUUAUCUUCUUCCUUGGUAAGAUCUGCCCAUUUUAAAGUGUAAAUGGGUUAGGAAUGCCAUUCGGAUAUGCUUGUGGAUAAUGCAUGAUUAUAAGAUGUAACGAAAUCCUGAUGUUACAGGGGUAUUAGUAAGGGAGAAUUCUGCUAGGAUUCCCAGAGCCUCAGUCCCUUCCCAGGGCUGUGCACGUAAGGAGUAGGAGGCUGUGACUGUAGAGGGCUGUGUAAGUUUCAGAAAUGCUGGGACAGCUUCUCUUUGGUGUCCCCUACCCAUAGGUAUGCUGUGCUGCAGAAACCUUCCCACUGCCUCCACAACUACACUGCAGUAAUUGCGAUUUGAUUCAGUUUACUGGAGCAGGAGUGGGACCUGUGUCCUACAUUGCUGGGUCUGAAAUGGAGAUGAUGGAGUAUGCUUAGCAUCAUCGCCUUGGGAGGGACAUUUUUGUGGUAAUAUAUUGUGUACGAGUGUUUAAGAGAAACUUUAAAAACUCUGUUUUUGCAUGAACUUAUUUUUGAGUAUGUAAUGUUCUGGAUGUGUUUUCAAAAGAAUUUUUUUUAAAGUUUUGAUGAAAAAGUGACUGUGCAGAAGAACUUUGCAGCACCAGCCAUCCAGUUCUGGCUCACACUGAACAUAUGUCAAUACAGCUUGGAAAGAACACUGUUCAGAGGAAUCCAAGAGAUUGGGAGCUGGAUAUUAAAUUCCAAUACAUUACUCCAGAAAUGCCAUCAUUAAUAUUUUGUAUUAAAAAUAUU